rnacentral:rRNA from 1 species
AACGAACGCUGGCGGCAUGCCUAACACAUGCAAGUCGAACGAACCCUUCGGGGUUAGUGGCGCACGGGUGCGUAACGCGUGGGGAUCUGCCCAAAGGUUCGGAAUAACUCAGAGAAAUUUGAGCUAAUACCGGAUAAUGUCUUCGGACCAAAGAUUUAUUGCCUUUGGAUGAACCCGCGUAGGAUUAGCUUGUUGGUGGGGUAAAGGCCUACCAAGGCGACGAUCCUUAGCUAGUCUGAGAGGAUGAUCAGCCACACUGGGACUGAGACACGGCCCAGACUCCUACGGGAGGCAGCAGUGGGGAAUAUUGGACAAUGGGCGAAAGCCUGAUCCAGCAAUGCCGCGUGAGUGAUGAAGGCCUUAGGGUUGUAAAGCUCUUUUACCCGGGAUGAUAAUGACAGUACCGGGAGAAUAAGCUCCGGCUAACUCCGUG